AUAGUGCUCUGUAGAGCCCCAAUCUCCACACCUCCUCCAGCAUAUCCCGAGCUGGUGCUCCCUGGUCCGGGAUCUUGUCCACAAUGAGCCUCCAGCUCCGCAGCUCCGCCCGCAUCCCCAGCGGUUCCAUCUCGCCAUUCAUGCGGAUGGCGCCGCUGGCAUUUCUGUUGCUGUUCACGCUGCCGCAGCAUCUAGCUGAAGGUGAGGGCGCAGCACCUGCGUGGCGCAGGGUGCCUGACCCAUCCGGGCGGGCCAUCGCAGUCAGCGGGUCCCAGGAGCGGGGAAAGGGGCUCUUCCAGCAUCCUCCUAUAAUCUUGUCUCUUCCACAGCUGCCCCUUCAACGGAGCUGCGUUGUGUUUGCUUAACCGUAACUCCAAAAAUUAAUCCCAAAUUGAUCGCUAAUUUGGAGGUGAUCCCUGCAGGUCCACAGUGCCCUACGGUGGAAGUCAUGUGAGUUCUGACUGUGUUCUGGGUGCAGGUGAUCUUGGGAGAUGGAAGUCCAGGACACCCCCUGCCCUACCCACAUCCCUUAUCCCGGAUUCUUCAGUCACCCGGGCUCACCUGUGCAUCCUCUUUUUUUCCUCCUCCGCAGAGCUAAACUGAAAAACCAGAAGGAGGUCUGUCUGGAUCCAGAAGCUCCUGUGAUAAAGAAAAUCAUUCAGAAAAUAUUGGGCAGUGACAAAAAGAAAGCUAAGCGGAAUGCACUCGCAGUGGAAAGAACGGCCAGUGUUCAAUAGAAAGAUUUCUGAGGACUCUGACCCCAGUGAAGAUAAGAAGAAAGGGCUGAUUCUCUCCACCCACGGAUUUUCUUUAUGAACUCCCUGCUUUGAUGAGAAAAGGGAAACCAUUGUCCCUGAAGCUUCCUGCUCAUCUCACAAGUGUAUUUAGCAAAAAUAUUUCCUAUUCUUUCCUAUCUGUCACACUAUCGGAAAUUGUGAUACUUUAGUGUGUAAGUCAAGAAUCAUUGGUUGUUAACCUUUCAAAAUGUCUUGAACUGAAGGUGACUAUUGCAUUGUCUCCGGAAUAUGUAUAUGUAUAUGUAUAUGUAUAUGUAUAUGUAUAUGUAUAUGUAUAUGUAUAUGUAUAUGUAUAUGUAUAUGUAUAUGUAUAUGAUGUAUAUGUAUAUGUAUAUGUGUGUGUAUAUAUAUAUAUAUAUCCUUUGUAAUGUUCAUGAGAAGGCAAUGCUGUCAUACUCUCUCUCAUAAAAUGGGGACCUCUUUUACUGUUGUUUCUUGGGUGUGUUAAGAGUGUUCUUACGUCUGAGCCUGGGCUGGCAUAUAACUUUUAUGGUUUUAGAAAGCUGCUGUGUCAUGCAGAAACCUAUGUAGAACACAGUUCCUUAUUUAGAAUUUCUAAAUGUGUAAGUUCUAGAAGGAUCAAUGUGUUCUCAUCUUAUAAUUUUAGACAUUUGAUGUCUUCGUAGUAUGGCAUAAUGUCAUGACUUACUCAACAAACUGUAUACUAUUUAUUAAUUAUUAACUAGUUUAUUAGUAUUACUAUUUGGGCCACUAACUAUAUAUUUUAGAUAGUAUAUAUUUUAGAUAGGUGAAGAAGGUAAGAAGCAAGGAAAUUCCUUACCUAGUUUUCAUAAAAAACAUUUAAAAGUUAUUUCUAGGGAGAGAAACUUUAGCAAAUAUCUAUACUCUUAGAGUUUUGAAAACAUACUUAACAUGUUUGAAUAUGGAUUGCUGAGAUAUUUAGAUGUCUGUAGUGUGUCUUUUAAAGAGUGUGCUUUGUUAUAAGGAGAUUAAUGAAUUCAUCACAUCCAUUAUUUUAAGCCUGUACAUCUUAUAGUGUCUCACUUCUUUAUAUUACUCUUUUGAGGAAAAUAAAGUAGCUCUAGAUU
rnacentral:lncRNA from 1 species